rnacentral:rRNA from 1 species
UACGUAGGUGGCAAGCGUUAUCCGGAUUUAUUGGGCGUAAAGGGAACGCAGGCGGUCUUUUAAGUCUGAUGUGAAAGCCUUCGGCUUAACCGGAGUAGUGCAUUGGAAACUGGCGGGCUAGAGAGCAGGAGAGGGCGGUGGAACUCCAUGUGUAGCGGUAAAAUGCGUAGAUAUAUGGAAGAACACCAGUGGCGAAGGCGGCCGCCUGGCCUGUUACUGACGCUGAGGCUCGAAAGUGCGGGUAUCAAACAGG